UAUAAGAUGCCUGAAAAAGGGUAAUCUUGAUAGGAUUAAUCAUGUGAAUUUCACUCUUAUAA
rnacentral:tRNA from 1 species